AACUAAUAUUUGCACACCGAAAAUCGGUAGAAUAUGUUGGCUAACUAUUAAAUUUGACAACCUGUACACCAUAUUCUGGCAAAAUAAGUUAUAAAUAUGAUAAUAAUAAUAAUUUUUUUCUAUCAAUGAUUCAUUUUCAAAAUAACGAUUUUUAUCACGCUUCAUCCUGUAACGCCCCCACUGCUGGAGAUACACCUCUUUCUUCGUGUAGGAGAUGGAUCGGAGCUUACACCACCACGCUGCUCCUGGGUUGACAGAUGAUUUCUAUACUUCAUUACAUAUUACUAAUAUUUAUCGUUGAUAAAAAUACUUGUACGAAAUAUUCAAAUAAGUUGUUUUGUAAACGUUUUUCGUUGCCAUUAUAAGUUAUCGUUUUAACACAAAAAAAAUGGUUCAAAAAGCCAGUCUUUUAAAGAAAAUAGGCUAUAAAACAUUACACAUAUAACAGCAGGGAAGCAACCAAAAAAAAAACCUAAAACAAAUUAAACCUAGCGUACAUUGUUACUAUGAAAAAUGAAAAAUCAACUCAUGUGGAUGUCGCUUAAUGUAUUGUUUAACAUAUUUUAUAUCUAAAUAAACACUGUAUUUCUAUUUUUAUAGCUAAAUGUACAUAUUGUGAUCUUAUUCUUCUUGACACUAAUCUAUCGACACUGUACAUAUGUCUUGACUCUCCACCAUUUGCCAUAUUUUACUCACACUUAAAUUUAAUAGCGUAGAUAAUUCUAAAAGAACUGUAAUGUAUAGUUGAUUACAAUAGUAAUAUAAUAGAUAUUUUGGUCACUAAAAUGUUUAGUGAGACCUCUUUAUUCCUUACCACAAAAUAAAAUUGACAUAGAUUCGUUUGUUUCAAGACAAUACAUGUCAAGGACUCAUUUGGUCAGUACACUGAAUUUUUGAUCUAUUGAAAUGAACUGUACACUUGUAAAUCUGAUAAUAUGUAAACCUAUAUUUAAUUUUAUUUUAAUCGAUAUUUUUAUAUAAAUAUAAAACUUUAAAAAUGCUCAAAGCGUAGCUCAUCUUUGUAAAUAAGCAUUAGAGUUAAUAUCAUAUUUCUCAAUUUUUAUAUAUUAUAUGUACAUAUAUAAAUAUAUUAUAACAACAUAACAUCUAUAGUAUCUAUACUGACUAUUUAUACGGUUGAUAACUCAAAAUAUAUGGAAAUGUCAAUCAUUUUUAACUUAUGAAGAAACUUCAACAUAUUUCAGAUGACUCACAAUUUAAUAGACAUUUUUUUUAUGUUUUAUCAAAAUAUUACCAAUGUCUAUGAUAGAAGAUUUAGGCAGUGGAAUAUUAUAAUGAUCAAUUACAAAGAUUCUAGACAAAUUAAUACCAGAAUAUGCUUCCAAUGUGACUUCAUUCUGUAUCUGCCACAGAAUUAACUAGUCGAAGUGGUAAGGCUGGUCAGCUGUGUCGCAGGACCGAUGGCCGUUGGAGCAGACGGGUCCUUGAGUGGAGACCGCGUCUUGACAAACGCAGUGUGUAAUAUCUUCCGGUCCACUGGACCGAUGAUCUAUGAUGUAGGCUGGAUGAGGAUUGUUUAAAACCGGGAUGUUUAGCGCGAACUUGGUGAGACCUACGUGCAGUAGUGUACUGCAAUUAGCUGACUUAAAACUUUAUGCUUCCACGUAGCCAUGAAGCUAUUAGUUUACGACGAUCAGACCCGGUACAUGUAUACAUAAGUCAGUAUGAAUACUAUGUUGUAUGUGCAACGCUAAUAGUUGUCCUAAAUAGUUCCUGUCAUGACAUCGAGCACGGCACUGCCCAAAUAUAUCAAUACCAUUAUUGUAACGCGUAGAUAACCCAUUAGAAUCAGAAUUUAGUGCUUCCGAUAACUCUUUUUCGAUUCGAAUUACUAAAAAAUACCACUACGUAUGAUGGGAGCGAAGCGGUAACCGUAAUAAUUAAUGGCAAUGAAACCGCACUAAUAAAAAAAAAAAAAAAUUUUAUAAAUAUAAAAUCAUAUAGCUAUUAUACAUAUGUAUAUAUUAUUUACAUAUUAUAAUUAGUUUUAUUUACAUUCGAAAUUGAUAAUUACGAUUAAUUAGUAAUAGUUUAAAUCGCUUGUAUUGUAAGAAAAAUGUGACCAAUUUUUUUCGAAAUUUUAGUCAAAUUUGUAAAACAUUAUAUUUAACUUAGGAUAGUUCCAAGGUUCGUCUCACUCGCCAGCUUAUCCUUGAGCUUAGGCCGAACGACAGGGUUUAAGACCUCUAAGUUCACCUUUCAACUAUGUCCAGCUUAGACUUUAAGAUAUUUCGUAAUUUCGCAUUUUGUCCGAUGCGCUUCGGUUCUGAGACGUGCGAGACUUUGCAUCUCUAAUAACAAAAUCAUAAAAGCCAUAAACUUUUAUUUACACAAUUAAUUAACUGAAAAGUCUUAUGAUUCAUAUAUUUUAUUCCUUUUUUAUUUUUUUAU
rnacentral:misc_RNA from 1 species